GGAUAGCUCAAUUGGUUAGAGCCUGGUGCUGAUAAUGCCAAGGUUGUGAGUUCGACCCCCAAUAGGGACA